rnacentral:SRP_RNA from 1 species
GCUGGGGUCUGUGACGAGCCCUGUAAUCCUGUGUCUGGGAGGCUGGUGUCUGAGGAUGGUUUGAGGUUGGGAAUCCAGCCAAACAUGGUUUCAUGUUGAACUGGUGUCCGCACUAAGCCUGGCGUCAAUAUGGACGCUCUUGGGGAGCCGAGAGUGGCCAGGUUGUCUGAGGAGGUGCGAAUCGGGCCAGGGGGGAAACCCAGCAGCUCAAAGUGCCCGCGGCGGGCAGUAGUGGGAUCGCGCCGGUGAGUGGAUCAUGUGUGGUUGCCAGAUCAAAACAAGCAAACCAGAUACCCU